rnacentral:misc_RNA from 1 species
GAUGAAGAACGUAGCGAAAUGCGAUACGUAAUGUGAAUUGCAGAAUUCAGUGAAUCAUCGAGUCUUUGAACGCACAUUGCGCCCCCUGGUAUUCCGGGGGGCAUGCCUGUCCGAGCGUCAUUGCUGCCCUCAAGCACGGCUUGUGUGUUGGGCCUCCGUCCUCCUCCCGGGGGACGGGCCCGAAAGGCAGCGGCGGCACCGCGUCCGGUCCUCGAGCGUAUGGGGCUUCGUCACCCGCUCUUGUAGGCCCGGCCGGAGCUUGCCGACACAUCAAUCUUUUUUCCAGGUUGACCUCGGAUCAGGUAGGGAUACCCGCUGAACUUAAGCAUAUCAAUAAGCGGAGGA